rnacentral:lncRNA from 1 species
AAUAUAAUUCGAUGACAUGUACGGUUAGGUUUCAUUUAUAUACUUGGUGGAAUCCAGCAUAUCUUAAUCAAACCCCCCACAUGGACAUGAUGUGCUCUUGUAUCGUCUAGAGAGGCUUACUUAUCUUAUAGUUUAGGGGCUUUAUCCAUCUUUGGUUUCAUUGCUUGUUGUUUUGUCAAGUUCACUAAUACCGUUUAUCCUAGCGAGUUUUACUGACCUACCGGACCAAAAGCUUCUCCACCUCAAGCAUUUACUUUUCUAUUAGAGGCCAAUGUUUUGGGGCUAAUAUAGGAUCUGCGUAGGGGGACCGCCUGGAUCCCAAGAGUGAAUCGAAAGU